UACGGAGGGUGCAAGCGUUGUUCGGAAUUAUUGGGCGUAAAGCGCGUGUAGGCGGCUAUUUAAGUCUGAUGUGAAAGCCCGGGGCUCAACCUCGGAAGUGCAUUGGAAACUGGAUAGCUUGAGGUCGGGAGAGGUUAGCGGUACUCCCAGGGUAGGGGUGAAAUCCGUAGAUAUUCGAAGGAACACCGGUGGCGAAGGCGGCUACCUGGACCGAUACUGACGCUGAGACGCGAAAGCGUGGGGAG
rnacentral:rRNA from 1 species